AGAGAGAGAUACGGUUCGAACAAAAACGGCAAAAAAAGAGAUUUGGCGAUACCUUAUAAACUCUUUAGCGUGAAGGAAGGAAGGAAGGAUCGAGUAGAUCUUGUUUUUGAUUCUCGAUGGCGGCGACUGAGCAUCCUUCUUUUGAGCUCGCCAAAGGUAUCAAUGGCCUCGACAAAAUUGUCCUCCGCCAGUCUCGUUACCGCUCCGCCGAGGUAUACUUGUAUGGUGGUCAUGUGACUUCUUGGAAGAAUGAGAACGGUGAAGAGUUGCUUUACCUCAGCAGCAAGGCUAUAUUCAAGCCUCCAAAACCAAUCCGUGGAGGGAUUCCGCUAUGCUUCCCACAAUUCAGUAACCUUGGUACACUCGAAUCACAUGGAUUCGCUAGAAACAGGAUCUGGGAAGUUGAUGCUAGCCCACCUCCUUUGCCAACGUAUUCUUCUCCUAAUGCUUUCGUUGACCUGAUCCUGAGGCCAACUGAAGACGAUCUGAAGACAUGGCCUCACAAUUUUGAGUUCCGGAUGAGGGUGGACUUGGGAUCUGAAGGGGAAUUGACACUGACAUCUCGUAUCAGGAACACCAACGCUGAUGGAAAGCCGUUUACAUUCACAUUUGCUUAUCACACCUAUUUCUCUGUCUCUGACAUCAGUGAAGUACGGGUUGAAGGAUUGGAGACUCUGGAUUAUCUAGACAACUUAAAGAACAGAGAACGUUUUACCGAGCAAGGAGAUGCUAUUACUUUUGAAUCUGAAAUUGACAAGAUAUACCUAAGCACUCCUACAAAGAUUGCUAUUUUGGACCAUGAGAAAAAGAGGACUUUCGUUGUUCGCAAGGACGGGCUUGCCGAUGCAGUGGUGUGGAAUCCAUGGGAUAAGAAGUCGAAGUCGAUAUCGGACUUGGGAGAUGAAGACUAUAAGCAUAUGCUAUGUGUUGAAGCUGCAGCUGUGGAAAGACCCAUCACAUUAAAACCGGGUGAAGAAUGGAAAGGAAGACUCGAGCUCUCUGCGGUUCCUUCUAGUUACUCCAGUGGACAGCUUGACCCCAAGAAAGUCCUCCAAUGAACCUUUCAAACUUCAAAAAAAUAUCACCCUUUCUCCUCUCUUUUUCUUUUUUGAUUUCAGUACUAUGAAGAAACGAGUGAAGGAAGGCGUGAAGAUGAUAUGGUGUUUUGGUUUUCGCAAUGGAAUAAAUAAAUUUCUUUUAAGUGCACUAUAAUAGUAUUUUACCCUUAAGAGUCGAUCAUACAUCCUUGUUGAUUAUUUUUUGCCUAUUGGAGAGUUUUUUUUUGCUUAUAUACAUAG